CCAAUUCAUUUGAUGGGGAGGAGAAAAAUCACAUCUUUGUUAGAAGGCCAGAAAUGAAUGAUAUACCCACCCCCCACCCCUAAAAAAAAAAAUUAAAAGUAACCAAUAACAAACCAAACAUACCGAGAUAAACCUGCUUUCCACAAUCCCUGAUGAGUGCAACAACCAAAAAAGAAAAAAAUCAAAAUCAAAUCAAUUCAGUUCAAUUGUUUGCACAAUUCCAAAAGCAGAAGUUGGUUUUUGGGGGACAGAAAUUGCAGUAGAGAGAGAGAGAGAGAGAGAGAGAGAAGAGAGAGGGAGAGAGUAUUAUUUUAU